UACGUAGGGUCCGAGCGUUGUCCGGAAUUAUUGGGCGUAAAGGGCUCGUAGGCGGUUUGUCGCGUCGGGAGUGAAAACCAGGUGCUUAACACCUGGCCUGCUUUCGAUACGGGCAGACUAGAGGCAUUCAGGGGAGAACGGAAUUCCUGGUGUAGCGGUGAAAUGCGCAGAUAUCAGGAGGAACACCGGUGGCGAAGGCGGUUCUCUGGGAAUGUCCUGACGCUGAGGAGCGAAAGCGUGGGGAGCGAACAGG
rnacentral:rRNA from 1 species